CCUACGGGUGGCAGCAGUGGGGGAUAUUGCACAAUGGGGGGAACCCUGAUGCAGCGACGCCGCGUGGGUGAAGGAGUACUUCGGUAUGUAAAGCCCUGUCAGCAGGGAAGAAAAUGACGGUACCUGACCAAGAAGCCCCGGCUAACUACGUGCCAGCAGCCGCGGUAAUACGUAGGGGGCAACGGUUAUCCGGAUUUACUGGGUGUAAGGGGAGCGUAGUCGGCAAGGCAAGUCUGGAGUGAAAGCCCGUGGCCCAACCACGGGACUGCUUUGGAAACUGUGUUGCUGGAGUGCAGGAGGGGUAGGCGGAAUUGCUGGUGUAGCGGGGAAAUGCGUAGAUAUUAGGAGGAACACCGGUGGCGAGGGCGGCUUACUGGACUGUACCUGACGUUGAGGCUCGAAGGCGUGGGGAGCAAACAGGAUUAGAUACCCCUGUAGUC
rnacentral:rRNA from 1 species